rnacentral:tRNA from 5 species
GGCAGCUUGCCAGAGUGGUUAAUGGGUAAGACUUGAAAUCUUAUGACUUCGGUCGCGCAGGUUCGAACCCUGCAGCUGUCG